UACGAAGGGAGCUAGCGUUGUUCGGAAUCACUGGGCGUAAAGCGCCACGUAGCGGAUUUGCCAGUCAGGGGUGAAAUCCCGGGGCUCAACCUCGGAACUCGCCUUUGAUACUGGCGACCUUGAGUCCGGGAGAGGUGAGUGGAACUGCGAGUGUAGAGGUGAAAUUCGUAGAUAUUCGCAAGAACACCAGUGGCGAAGGCGGCUCACUGGCCCGG
rnacentral:rRNA from 1 species